UACGUAGGGGCGAGCGUUGUCCGGAAUCAUUGGGCGUAAAGCGCGUGUAGGCGGCUCGGUAAGUCUGCUGUGAAAGCCCGGGGCUCAACCCCGGGUCUGCCGUGCCGACUGUCAAACUCGAGGGCUGUAGAGGCAGACGGAAUUCCGGGUGUAGCGGUGGAAUGCGUAGAGAUCCGGAGGAAGACCGGUGGCGAAGGCGGGUCUCUGGGCAGUAACUGACGCUGAGGAGCGAAGCGUGGGAGCGAACAGG
rnacentral:rRNA from 1 species